AGUGUAUGUCGUGAAUCAUCGAAUCUUUGAACGCACUUUGCACCUUGUGGCUCAUGUCACAAGGUAUACUUGUUUGAGUAUCCACAACAUCCUCACUACACCUUCGGGUCGUAGUGGACUUGAGAUUCGAUGAGCUGUUCUCUUUUGAAUAGCGAGUCGUCUCUUUAAAGGAAGGCCGACCACACGUGUCUCAGCUGAGAUAUGGUUAUUGGGAUAACAUCCUAACAAUAGCCAUUGGCUCCGACAUGGAAGGCCAUCUUGCAUUGACUGCCACUUAACAGAUGGACGUUGAUACAUAGGGUGUGUGCGCACGCAAGUGGCCCACUCGUAAAUGGAUCUCAAAUCAAGUAGGGAUACCCGCUGAACUUAAGCAUAUCAAUAAGCGGAGG
rnacentral:rRNA from 1 species